CAGCGCUCAUACGUAGCAGCCUGGGAGAAAGACAAAACCAGCGUUCAUAUUAUGCCAGAUACCCCUGGUAUUUUGCUGGCCCAGCAGAACAAAGUGAACUACAGUGAGAAAAUGUACAGGCUGGCAAUGGAAGAAGAUAAGAAGAAGGGCUAUGACCUACGUGCAGAUGCCAUUCCCAUCAAGUCUGCUAAAGCUUCCAGGGAUAUUGCCAGUGAUUACAAGUAUAAAGAAGGGUAUCGCAAGCAGCUUGGCCA